rnacentral:lncRNA from 1 species
AUGCAUACACCACCAAGAAGGCUGAAAAAAAGAGGGAAGAAAAAGAGAGAGACAAGGAGAGGAGAAAGACAACAAGCUGGUAGCAAGUGGCCAUCCUGCGCCCUGCCUCCUGCAUGCGCUACUCAGGCGUCUCCCUCAACAAGAACGGAGGUAAGAAAAGAUUUCCUUGAACAUGUUUUGGAGUUCAGUUGUGUUAGAGGAGAAGGAAAAUCAGCAGUAGAUUCAAUUCGUGAACUAUAUAUAGCUGACUGGUCUGUAAGGGUCAGAUUACUUGUGUGGCAACUCUUGACCGAUUAACUACAUUUGACCAAAUAGAGGUCUUGUCACAUGGUUUUAGUUGGGAUUUCAAAAUCAUUUUUCAAAUAUUUCCACAGUCUUAAAUUUAAGUGCGUUGCUGGAGCAACCAAGACUGCAUACAUAAUGGACUAAUGUUUCACACCUCUUUUAUGACUGCCUGACAUGUCACAUCCAAAAAGAUCUCUUUUGUGAAAGAAAACACCGUUGUUAAUAUUGGAUCUCCCUCCCUCUAGACUUUCCUUAUCACAGACAAAAUGUGCUGCAAGACUGACAUGUCAUGGUGCUGUUUGUCAGACAGCCCUCAGACGGAAUAUUUUUCCCCCCCGAUCAAAUUGGAAUGAACUAUAUUUUCAGGCUAUUUGUUGUCACAAAUUCACCCAUUCCUCAUAUGGAUGUGAUAUGUGCCUUGUCCCAGCUGUCAAAGGCUCAGUGGUGGCAGAAUGUAUUCAUGUCUUAAAUGAAUGAUAAAGUACGCUGCAACAGCUCAAAACCGAUGCCAUUUGGAAAAUAAAAUGGUUUCAAUACUUAAAGAACUGUGGCCGUUGAGCAAUACUCCUCUAAAGCUUGUGACAAACUGCAGUGAUGCACGCUCCAUUAGAUAAUCUUUGACUCAAUUUGUUUCUAAAUUUAUGUUUCUAGUCGUUUCAGUGAGUCGAAAGGAAGGAAAAUGUUCCCUUGAAUUGGAUUUUUACAGCAGAAAAAUUAUGGGAUGCUAAUCUAAAAAUCUUA